rfam:Nomascus leucogenys chromosome 21, whole genome shotgun sequence.
GCCGGGCAUGGUGGCUCAUGCCUGUAAUCCAAGCAUUUUGGGAGGCUGAGGUGGGUGGAUCACCUGAGGUCAAGAGUUUGAGACCAGCCUGGCCAACAUGGUGAAACCCCACCUCUA